rnacentral:rRNA from 1 species
CACAUGCAAGUCGAGCGGCAGCGGGAAGUAGUUUACUACUUUGCCGGCGAGCGGCGGACGGGUGAGUAAUGUCUGGGAAACUGCCUGAUGGAGGGGGAUAACUACUGGAAACGGUAGCUAAUACCGCAUGACCUCGCAAGAGCAAAGUGGGGGACCUUCGGGCCUCACGCCAUCGGAUGUGCCCAGAUGGGAUUAGCUAGUAGGUGGGGUAAUGGCUCACCUAGGCGACGAUCCCUAGCUGGUCUGAGAGGAUGACCAGCCACACUGGAACUGAGACACGGUCCAGACUCCUACGGGAGGCAGCAGUGGGGAAUAUUGCACAAUGGGCGCAAGCCUGAUGCAGCCAUGCCGCGUGUGUGAAGAAGGCCUUCGGGUUGUAAAGCACUUUCAGCGAGGAGGAAGGCAGUCGUGUUAAUAGCACGAUUGAUUGUCGUUACU